CAAGGAUUCCCCUAGUAACUGCGAGUGAAGAGGGAAAAGCUCAAAUUUAAAAUCUGGCGGUUUUGUCGCCCGAGUUGUAAUCUGGAGAAGCGUUUUCCGCGCCGGACCGUGUACAAGUCUCUUGGAACAGAGUGUCAUAGAGGGUGAGAAUCCCGUCCAUGACACGGACUCCCGGUGCUUUGUGAUACGCUCUCGAAGAGUCGAGUUGUUUGGGAAUGCAGCUCAAAAUGGGUGGUAAGCUCCAUCUAAAGCUAAAUAUUGGCGAGAGACCGAUAGCGAACAAGUACCGUGAGGGAAAGAUGAAAAGCACUUUGGAAAGAGAGUAAAACAGUACGUGAAAUUGUUGAAAGGGAAACGCUUGAAGUCAGUCGCAUCUUACUUGACUCAGCCUUGCUUCGGCUUGGUGUAUUUCAAGUAGGAUGGGUCAACAUCGAUUUUGACCGGCGGACAAGGGGUGAAGGAAUGUGGCACUCUUCGGAGUGUGUUAUAACCUUUUCUCAUAUACGUCGGUUGGGAUUGAGGCCCGCAGCGCGCCCUUGUGGCCGGAGGUUCGCCUCACGUAACGCGCUUAGGAUGUUGGCAUAAUGGCUUUAGCGACC
rnacentral:rRNA from 1 species